rnacentral:rRNA from 1 species
CCUACGGGUGGCAGCAGUGGGGAAUAUUGGGCAAUGGAGGCAACUCUGACCCAGCAACGCCGCGUGAAUGAUGAAGGUCUUCGGAUUGUAAAGUUCUGUGAUGGGGGAUGAACACAUUGACGGUACUCCAAUAGCAAGCCACGGCUAACUGCGUGCCAGCAGCCGCGGUAAUAAGUAGGUGGCACGCGUUAUCCGGAAUGACUGCGCGUAAAGGGUGCGUAGGUGGUUUAGUAAGUUGGCGGUGUAAUUCCGGGGAUCAACCUGGGCGCUACCGCCCAAACUAUUAGACUAGAGUGUAGGAGGGGGAAGUAGAAUUCCUAGUGUAGCGGUGGAAUGCGUAGAGAGUAGGAGGAACAGCAGGGGCGAAGGCGACUUACUGGAC